rnacentral:rRNA from 1 species
UACGAAGGGGGCUAGCGUUGUUCGGAAUCACUGGGCGUAAAGGGCGCGUAGGCGGCCGAUCAAGUCGGGGGUGAAAGCCUGUGGCUCAACCACAGAAUUGCCUCGAUACUGGUUGGCUUGAGACCGGAAGAGGUAAGUGGAACUGCGAGUGUAGAGGUGAAAUUCGUAGAUAUUCGCAAGAACACCAGUGGCGAAGGCGGCUUACUGGUCCGGUUCUGACGCUGAGGCGGCGAAAGCGUGGGGAGCAAACAGG